AUGUCGUGCAACGCCUUGGAGUUAGUAUGCUGGAAUGUUAGAGGCCUUAACAGUCCGGCCAAGAGGAAGGCACUAAGAGGUUUCGUGGACUCCGUUCGUGCGGCGAUUGUUUGCAUCUUAGAAACUAAAUUAGAGGUAGUGGACAUUUAUGUAAUCUUGCAAUGCAUGGGACCAAACUAUGAUGGUUUCACCUACUUACCGGCGUCAGAGACUAGAGGUGGUAUUUUCGUGGCUUGG
rnacentral:rRNA from 1 species